CGUGAAAUCCCCGGGCUCAACCUGGGAAUUGCGUUGGAGACUGCAAGGCUAGAAUCUGGCAGAGGGGGGUAGAAUUCCACGUGUAGCAGUGAAAUGCGUAGAGAUGUGGAGGAACACCGAUGGCGAAGGCAGCCCCCUGGGUCAAGAUUGACGCUCAUGCACGAAAGCGUGGGGAGCAAACAGGAUUAGAUACCCUGGUAGUCCACGCCCUAAACGAUGUCUACUAGUUGUCGGGUUUUAAUUAACUUGGUAACGCAGCUAACGCGUGAAGUAGACCGCCUGGGGAGUACGGUCGCAAGAUUAAAACUC
rnacentral:rRNA from 1 species